CCUACGGGUGGCAGCAGUGGGGAAUAUUGGACAAUGUGGGGAACCCUGAUCCAGCCAUGCCGCGUGUGUGAAGAAGGCCCUCGGGUUGUAUAGCACUUUCAGUGAGGAAGAACGCCUGGUGGUUAAUACCCAUCAGGAAAGACAUCACUCACAGAAGAAGCACCGGCUAACUCCGUGCCAGCAGCCGCGGUAAUACGGAGGGUGCGAGCGUUAAUCGGAAUUACUGGGCGUAAAGCGCGCGUAGGUGGCUUGAUAAGCCGGUUGUGAAAGCCCCGGGCUCAACCUGGGAACGGCAUCCGGAACUGUCAAGCUAGAGUGCAGGAGAGGAAGGUAGAAUUCCCGGUGUAGCGGUGAAAUGCGUAGAGAUCGGGAGGAAUACCAGUGGCGAAGGCGGCCUUCUGGACUGACACUGACACUGAGGUGCGAAAGCGUGGGUAGCAAUCAGGAUUAGAUACCCUUGUAGUC
rnacentral:rRNA from 1 species